GAAGUGCUUGCACUUCGCUGACGAGUGGCGGACGGGUGAGUAAUGCUUGGGAACUUGCCUUUGCGAGGGGGAUAACAGUUGGAAACGACUGCUAAUACCGCAUAAUGUGCGCUUGUAAAAGUGUACCAAACGGGGCUUAGGCUCCGGCGCAAAGAGAGGCCCAAGUGAGAUUAGCUAGUUGGUGGGGUAAAGGCUCACCAAGGCAACGAUCUCUAGCUGUUCUGAGAGGAAGAUCAGCCACACUGGGACUGAGACACGGCCCAGACUCCUACGGGAGGCAGCAGUGGGGAAUAUUGCACAAUGGGGGAAACCCUGAUGCAGCCAUGCCGCGUGUGUGAAGAAGGCCUUCGGGUUGUAAAGCACUUUCAGUUGUGAGGAAAAGUGAGUAGUUAAUACCUGCUCACCGUGACGUUAACAACAGAAGAAGCACCGGCUAACUCCGUGCCAGCAGCCGCGGUAAUACGGAGGGUGCGAGCGUUAAUCGGAAUUACUGGGCGUAA
rnacentral:rRNA from 1 species